UCGCCUGGUUUUACAAAAACAUUUCUUACAGACCUAUUUGUAAGUAUUACCUGCUCCAUGAUUUUUAUUAAAUAGCCGCGGAAAUUUAACCGUGCUAAGGUAGCAUAAUCAUUAGCCCCUUAAUUAGGGGCUCGUAUGAAAGGUGAAACAUCUCAUCUACUUUAUUAAAUAAUAUUUUUCAAAUUUAAACUAAAAAUAAAAAUGUUUUUAUUUCAUAAACAGACGAUAAGACCCUAUUGAACUUUACUUUAGUUAAGCUGGGGCAGCUUAAAAAAAAUUAUCUUUUUACAGUUAUUUAAAUAAAUAACCCAAUAAAAUUGAAUUUAAACAAGUUACCAUAGGGAUAACAGCGUAAUACCUUUUUAAAGUUCUUAUUAAAAAAGGGGAUUGCGACCUCGAUGUUGAAUUAAUGUCACUUUACAGAUGCAAUAAUUUGGGAGAGGUCGUCGCC
rnacentral:rRNA from 1 species